rnacentral:rRNA from 1 species
AUUGAACGCUGGCGGCAGGCCUAACACAUGCAAGUCGAGCGGAAACGACAUUACUGAUUCUUCGGAUGAUUUAAUGGGCGUCGGGCGGCGGACGGGUGAGUAAUGCCUAGGAAAUUGCCUUGAUGUGGGGGAUAACCAUUGGAAACGAUGGCUAAUACCGCAUAAUGCCUACGGGCCAAAGAGGGGGAUCUUCGGACCUCUCGCGUCAAGAUAUGCCUAGGUGGGAUUAGCUAGUUGGUGAGGUAAUGGCUCACCAAGGCGACGAUCCCUGGCUGGUCUGAGAGGAUGAUCAGCCACACUGGAGCUGAGACACGGUCCAG